rnacentral:rRNA from 1 species
CUGCUAUCGGAUUGAUACUAAGCCAUGCGAGUCUUGCAGUAAUGCAAGGCAUACGGCUCAGUAACACGUAGUCAACCUACCCUAUGGACGAGAAUAAUCUCGGGAAACUGAGCAUAAUUCUUGAUAGAUCAUAAUGCCUGGAAUGGUUUAUGGUUAAAAUGAUUCGUCGCCAUAGGAUGGGACUGCGGCCUAUCAGCUUGUUGGUGAGGUAAUGGCCCACCAAGGCGAUUACAGGUACGGGCUCUGAGAGGAGAAGCCCGGAGAUGGGUACUGAGACACGGACCCAGGCCCUAUGGGGCGCAGCAGGCGAGAAAACUUUGCAAUGUGCGAAAGCACGACAAGGUUAAUCCGAGUGAUUUCUGCUAAAGAAAUCUUUUGCCAGUCGUAAAACCGCUGGUGAAUAAGGGGUGGGCAAGUUCUGGUGUCAGCCGCCGCGGUAAAACCAGCACCUCAAGUGGUCAGGAUGAUUAUUGGGCCUAAAGCAUCCGUAGCCGGCUUUGUAAGUUUUCGGUUAAAUCCAUGUGCUCAACGCAUGGGCUGCCGAAAAUACUGCAUAGCUAGGGAGUGGGAGAGGUAGACGGUACUCAGUAGGUAGGGGUAAAAUCCUUUGAUCUAUUGAUGACCACCUGUGGCGAAGGCGGUCUACCAGAACACGUUCGACGGUGAGGGAUGAAAGCUGGGGGAGCAAACCGGAUUAGAUACCCGGGUAGUCCCAGCUGUAAACGAUGCAGACUAGAUGAUGCAUUGGCAUAAUAGCCAUUGCAGUGUCUCAGGGAAGCCGUUAAGUCUGCCGCCUGGGAAGUACGUACGCAAGUAUGAAACUUAAAGGAAUUGGCGGGGAGCACCACAAGGGGUGAAGCCUGCGGU